CCCUUAGAUGUUCUGGUCCGCACGCGCGCUACACUGACGAAUGCAACGAGCUUAUAACCUUGGCCGAAAGGUCUGGGUAAUCUCCAAAUUUCGUCGUGAUGGGGAUAGAUUAUUGCAAUUAUUAAUCUUCAACGAGGAAUGCCUAGUAAGCGCAAGUCAUCAGCUUGCGUUGAUUACGUCCCUGCCCUUUGUACACACCGCCCGUCGCUCCUACCGAUUGAAUGGUCCGGUGAAGCGUUCGGACCGUGGCCUUUGGACGGUUCGCCGUCUGUUGGCUGCGGGAAGUUCGUUAAACCUUAUCAUUUAGAGGAAGGAGAAGUCGUAACA
rnacentral:rRNA from 1 species